CAGUCGAACGGACUCAUAUUGAAACCUAGUGAUUUAUGAGUUAGUGGCGGACGGGUGAGUAACGCGUGGAUAACCUGCCGUAUACCGGGGGAUAACACUUAGAAAUAGGUGCUAAUACCGCAUAAGCGCACGGCUCCGCAUGGGGCAGUGUGAAAAACUCCGGUGGUAUACGAUGGAUCCGCGUCUGAUUAGCUAGUUGGCGGGGUAACGGCCCACCAAGGCAGCGAUCAGUAGCCGGCCUGAGAGGGUGGACGGCCACAUUGGGACUGAGACACGGCCCAAACUCCUACGGGAGGCAGCAGUGGGGAAUAUUGCACAAUGGGGGAAACCCUGAUGCAGCGACGCCGCGUGAGUGAAGAAGUAUCUCGGUACGUAAAGCUCUAUCAGCAGGGAAGAAAAUGACGGUACCUGACUAAGAAGCCCCGGCUAACUACGUGCCAGCAGCCGCGGUAAUACGUAGGGGGCAAGCGUUAUCCGGAUUUACUGGGUGUAAAGGGAGCGUAGACGGCGAUGCAAGUCUGAAGUGAAAGCCCGGGGCUCAACCCCGGGACUGCUUUGGAAACUGUAUGGCUGGAGUGCUGGAGAGGCAAGCGGAAUUCCUAGUGUAGCGGUGAAAUGCGUAGAUAUUAGGAAGAACACCAGUGGCGAAGGCGGCUUGCUGGACAGUAACUGACGUUGAGGCUCGAAAGCGUGGGGAGCAAACAGGAUUAGAUACCCUGGUAGUCCACGCUGUAAACGAUGAAUGCUAGGUGUUGGGGAGCAAA
rnacentral:rRNA from 1 species